UGCAAGUCGAGCGAUCUCUUCGGAGAGAGCGGCGGACGGGUGAGUAACGCGUGGGUAACCUGCCCUGUACACACGGAUAACAUACCGAAAGGUAUACUAAUACGGGAUAACAUAUGAAAGUCGCAUGGCUUUUGUAUCAAAGCUCCGGCGGUACAGGAUGGACCCGCGUCUGAUUAGCUAGUUGGUAAGGUAAUGGCUUACCAAGGCAACGAUCAGUAGCCGACCUGAGAGGGUGAUCGGCCACACUGGAACUGAGACACGGUCCAGACUCCUACGGGAGGCAGCAGUGGGGAAUAUUGCACAAUGGGCGAAAGCCUGAUGCAGCAACGCCGCGUGAGCGAUGAAGGCCUUCGGGUCGUAAAGCUCUGUCCUCAAGGAAGAUAAUGACGGUACUUGAGGAGGAAGCCCCGGCUAACUACGUGCCAGCAGCCGCGGUAAUACGUAGGGGGCUAGCGUUAUCCGGAAUUACUGGGCGUAAAGGGUGCGUAGGUGGUUUUUUAAGUCAGAAGUGAAAGGCUACGGCUCAACCGUAGUAAGCUUUUGAAACUAGAGAACUUGAGUGCAGGAGAGGAGAGUAGAAUUCCUAGUGUAGCGGUGAAAUGCGUAGAUAUUAGGAGGAAUACCAGUAGCGAAGGCGGCUCUCUGGACUGUAACUGACACUGAGGCACGAAAGCGUGGGGAGCAAACAGGAUUAGAUACCUGGUAGUCCACGCCGUAAACGAUGAGUACUAGGUGUCGGGGGUUACCCCCCUCGGUGCCGCAGCUAACGCAUUAAGUACUCCGCCUGGGAAGUACGCUCGCAAGAGUGAAACUCGAAGGAAUUGACGGGGACCCGCACAAGUAGCGGAGCAUGUGGUUUAAUUCGAAGCAACGCGAAGAACCUUACCUAAGCUUGACAUCCCACUGACCUCUCCCUAAUCGGAGAUUUCCCUUCGGGGACAGUGGUGACAGGUGGUGCAUGGUUGUCGUCAGCUCGUGUCGUGAGAUGUUGGGUUAAGUCCCGCAACGAGCGCAACCCUUGCCUUUAGUUGCCAGCAUUAAGUUGGGCACUCUAGAGGGACUGCCGAGGAUAACUCGGAGGAAGGUGGGGAUGACGUCAAAUCAUCAUGCCCCUUAUGCUUAGGGCUACACACGUGCUACAAUGGGUGGUACAGAGGGUUGCCAAGCCGCGAGGUGGAGCUAAUCCCUUAAAGCCAUUCUCAGUUCGGAUUGUAGGCUGAAACUCGCCUACAUGAAGCUGGAGUUACUAGUAAUCGCAGAUCAGAAUGCUGCGGUGAAUGCGUUCCCGGGUCUUGUACACACCGCCCGUCACACCAUGGAAGUUGGGGGCGCCCGAAGCCGGUUAGCUAACCUUUUAGGAAGCGGCCGUCGAAGG
rnacentral:rRNA from 1 species